rnacentral:rRNA from 1 species
ACGCACGCUGGCGGCGUGCUUCACACAUGCAAGUCGAACGGUGAAGCCCUUCGGGGUGGAUCAGUGGCGAACGGGUGAGUAACACGUGAGCAACCUGCCCCUGGCUCUGGGACAACCACUGGAAACGGUGGCUAAUACCGGAUACGACCCGCCUCGGCAUCGAGUGUGGGUGGAAAGUUUUUCGGCUGGGGAUGGGCUCGCGGCCUAUCAGCUUGUUGGUGAGGUGAAGGCUCACCAAGGCGACGACGGGUAGCCGGCCUGAGAGGGCGACCGGCCACACUGGGACUGAGACACGGCCCAGACUCCUACGGGAGGCAGCAGUGGGGAAUAUUGCACAAUGGGCGAAAGCCUGAUGCAGCGACGCCGCGUGAGGGAUGACGGCCUUCGGGUUGUAAACCUCUUUCAGCUCCGAAGAAGCGAAAGUGACGGUAGGAGCAGAAGAAGCACCGGCUAACUACGU